GAGCCAAUAGUGAGGGGCACCGGGAGCGAGGUGCAGGGGGCGGGGCUCGGCCUGGCCGCAGCCAUUUUGGUGCGAGAGAAACAAUAGGACGGAAACGCCGAGGAACCCGGCUGAGGCGGCAGCAGAGCAUCCUGGCCAGAACAAGCCAAGGAGCCAAGACGAGAGGGACACACGGACAAACAACAGACAGAAGACGUACUGGCCGCUGGACUCCGCUGCCUCCCCCAUCUCCCCGCCAUCUGCGCCCGGAGGAUGAGCCCAGCCUUCAGGGCCAUGGAUGUGGAGCCCCGCGCCAAAGGCGUCCUUCUGGAGCCCUUUGUCCACCAGGUCGGGGGGCACUCAUGCGUGCUCCGCUUCAAUGAGACAACCCUGUGCAAGCCCCUGGUCCCAAGGGAACAUCAGUUCUACGAGACCCUCCCUGCUGAGAUGCGCAAAUUCACUCCCCAGUACAAAGGUGUCUCUUGAUCACAGUAACCCAUAGUCCCCCACUGGGGGGACGGUGGGGGAAGACUUUGGGAGGAUUUUACCCAGAAUACUUGCCGCCUGCUUUUUGUCCUCCAGGAAACCAGAAGCCCGGGUAAUUAGGACAAAGCCAAAGGCCCCUUGUUAGCUGGCCAUCCCUGCCCCAUUUUUUCCCCUGGUCCUUUCCCCUGUGGCCACAGGGAAGUGUGGCCUGAAUACCCCACCCCGGCUCCUCUGCACCCAGAGCUGGGGGCCACCUCAGAAGUGUCAUCUCUCUCUGAGCACGCAUUCCCCUGCAGCAGUCGAGGACUGAGCAGAUUGAGUGAUGCUGGGGCAGAGAGGCCUGGGAGGAAAGGUGUUCAGCCAGUCGUUUGUAAGGCGCUCGUCGGCACCUGCUGAAACGCCCCCACCUGACAGCCCCAUCCUCAAAGACUGUCUUAAUUACUCAUGGCAGGUUCUAGAGACUUAAGGGGAAAAGCUGCUUUCAAGGCCACCACAUGUCUGUGCUCCCCAACCAGCUCUAUCUGCCUUGUGUUCAUUUUGUUAUUUUGUGACGUGAGACUGCAAAGACCAAUAAAAACAUAUUUUAUAAGAACAAAAGGCCUGGGUGCCUACCCGUGUGGGGGCACUGUGGGAAGCCUUUGCUAGGGUGUCUUGUGCUGUGUGGUUUGUUUUGUUUGCCCCUUUAUUUUGCUUUGCUUACCCAGUCUUCCCUUACUCUUGGAUGCUUCUUAACCCUCAGGCAAACCUGUGUUCCCCCUGUAUUCAGGCUCUGCUUUAAAGCAAGCCAUGAGGCUGUUGGAGUUUCUGUUUAGGGCAUUAAAAAUUCCCGCAAACUAUAAAGAGCAAUGUUUUCAGUCUUUUAGGAUUAGAAGAAUUACAUAAAAAUUAAUAAACAUUUUCAAUGAUGGAA
rnacentral:lncRNA from 1 species